CAAUCCUGUAAAAAUGUCAAAACUAUGUUUAGCUGACAGCUAGUGCUAGAUUUGACACAAAGCCUGUAGUUUGCUGACCCCUGAAGUAGAUGGUUUUAAAAUUACUCUAGAGAGGUGUCUAAGGAGUUCAUUCUUGGCCUCUUUCCUCAGUGAUAUUACCUGCUGAGAAUGCAAGGGACAAUGAUCUAUUGUGAGGAAUGAUGUAAGAAAAAAUUGUAAGGUGAAUGGAAAGAUUGUCAAGUAACACUGCACACCCAAGUGAAGAAGAUUUUUGAAGAAAAAUUAAGAACAUUAGUCUGAAAACUACAAAGGAAACCAACCUCAUGUUCCUGGCCGAGAGAUCAGACUAUAACCAAGGGAUUGCUAGGGAAAUGGCAUUGUCAAACAGAAGACCGAUUUCAGGGAUGGAGGAAAAGUGGGCAGACUAGAACUAGGCUGUCACCAUAUCCCUGCAAGAAACUCUCAAGAUACCUUUUGGAGAGAAAUGUGAGACCAACCAUCUCCCUGCCUUUGGGCCCCUCCCCAGCCCCUUCCCAAGGCUGAGGCCCGCCUGACAACAAGGCUUGCCUGCCUGUUCCACACCUGUGA